rnacentral:lncRNA from 1 species
GUUGCGCGUCCUCAGUAUUUAAUGUCUCUGUGUUCGCCCGGCCUGGGCUAGCACGUGGGGGAGCGGCCGAAGCGCCUUGCAGCGCUGCGGGGCAGGGCCGCUGGGCUAGGUGGGGGGCCCGGGGGCGGUGGCGGGAGGACUGUGCGCCUAGACGGUCGCCCCGGAGCAGUGCACAAUAACAUGCCUACGGAUGCUCCCUCCUUUCUGGAUCCACUCCUGUGUCUGGGGAGAACACAUCCUCCAGUACCUUGCUGAGAAAGUGAAUGUGCAUGGGUAGUACCAAGAAGCUGAUGUGUGAGGAGAGCCAGGGACCUCCGAGAGUGUGCACCAGGGAGUAUGGGACUGAGUUCAGGACUGCUCAACAAGGGCUCCCAAGCCAACAGGAGGCUUUCCCUUUUGGAAGAUGUGAAGGAGAAGAGAUCUGGAUUUGAGCACCCAGGUGGUGGUGACAGUGGUCACUGAGUGCAACCCGGCUAUGCUUGGCUCUUCAGUACUUAGUCUAAAGUCCUCUCAUCCCCGCACAAGAACUAGAACAUCCCUGCCUGCCUGAGAAAAUGGUACUCGUUUUCUGCUUAUUCCUCCAACCACCAGACAUUUUUUUUUCCUGCCCCUUGGACCAGCCAUUGACUACGUGGGCAGCAGAGCAGCUCACUAGGGAAGAGGUCAUGGGUUUUCACUUCCAAAAAAGUUGUGGAAGGUUCAUAGCUUACUCAUUUCUACCCUAUGCUGCCUAGUACUUGGACUUGUCAAUAAAUAUUUACUGAAUAGAAUGUUUCUCUU